UGAUUAAACAAUUGUAUUGUCACUUAACAU
rnacentral:piRNA from 1 species